rnacentral:rRNA from 1 species
UACGGAGGGUGCGAGCGUUGUCCGGAAUCACUGGGCGUAAAGGGCGCGUAGGUGGCGUCGCAAGUCAACGGUGAAAGCUCGAGGCUCAACGUCGAGUCGGCCGUCGAGACUGCGAGGCUUGAGCACUGUAGAGGCAGAUGGAAUUCCGGGUGUAGCGGUGGAAUGCGUAGAGAUCCGGAAGAACACCGGUGGCGAAGGCGGUCUGCUGGGCAGUUGCUGACACUGAGGCGCGACAGCGUGGGGAGCAAACAGG